rnacentral:tRNA from 79 species
GCGGGUGUAGUUUAGUGGUAGAACAUCAGCUUCCCAAGCUGAGAGUGCGAGUUCGAUUCUCGUCACCCGCUCCA